rnacentral:rRNA from 1 species
UGCCAGCCGCCGCGGUAAUACGGAGGGUGCAAGCGUUAAUCGGAAUUACUGGGCGUAAAGGGCGCGUAGGUGGUUCUGUAAGUCGGGUGUGAAAGCCCCGGGCUUAACCCGGGAAUUGCAUUCGAUACUGCAGGGCUAGAGUAUGGUAGAGGAAAGCGGAAUUCCCGGUGUAGCGGUGAAAUCCGUAGAUAUUCGGAGGAACACCAGUGGCGAAGGCGGCUUUCUGGACCGAUACUGACGCUGAGACGCGAAAGCGUGGGGAGCAAACAGGAUUAGAUA